CAAUCGGCCCUUUUCAGGGCCACCAAAAUAUAAAAUNAGUAGAAAU
rfam:Trichomalopsis sarcophagae strain Alberta scaffold8405, whole genome shotgun sequence.